rnacentral:rRNA from 1 species
UACGUAGGGGGCUAGCGUUGUCCGGAUUUAUUGGGCGUAAAGCGCACGUAGGCGGCUUUCUAAGUCAGGGGUGAAAUCCUGGAGCUCAACUCCAGAACUGCCUUUGAUACUGGAAAGCUUGAGUUCGGGAGAGGUGAGUGGAACUGCGAGUGUAGAGGUGAAAUUCGUAGAUAUUCGCAAGAACACCAGUGGCGAAGGCGGCUCACUGGCCCGAUACUGACGCUGAGGUGCGAAAGCGUGGGGAGCAAACAGG